rnacentral:misc_RNA from 1 species
GAUGAAGAACGUAGCGAAAUGCGAUAAGUAAUGUGAAUUGCAGAAUUCAGUGAAUCAUCGAAUCUUUGAACGCACAUUGCGCCCAUUAGUAUUCUAGUGGGCAUGCCUGUUCGAGCGUCAUUAAGUCCACUUAAGCCCUGCUUAGUGUUGGGAGACUGCUCCAGCGGUGCUACCCUGUAGCUACCCUGCAGCUCCUCAAAGACAGCGACGGAGUUGUGGUAUCCUCUGAGCUUAGUAACUUGUUCUAGCUUUCGAGUACACCACUUCCCCUGCCGUAAAACCCUUAAUUUUUAAUGGUUGACCUCGGAUCAGGUAGGAAUACCCGCUGAACUUAAGCAUAUCAAUAAGCGGAGGA